AGGUCUUGUAUUCAAGUAUGAUUUUAAAUUGCAAAUUUAAAGGUAAAAAUAAUUUUCAAGGCC
rnacentral:tRNA from 1 species